rnacentral:lncRNA from 1 species
AAUGCUGGAGCUACCACUGGCACUUAGGCGGCACAAGCCGGCACUCCGGAGUUAGCCUACGCGACUUAUGCUUGCUCGUGCGGUAUUGAGAAGCCUACGGGGGCCUAGAGGGCUAGACUCAUUCCUCGAGGGGGAAUGCUAGAGCUACCACUGGCACUUAGGCGGCUCAAGCCGGACUACACUUGUGUAGGUCCUAAAACAAGAUUGAACAAUGACAUUAAACCGGUGUAUGACAAUCACUACUAGAUAGGCUUAGUAGUUGGUUUACUUGAACAUACUUUUAGCAUAGUAGUGGACAUUGGGACAUGUACUAUUGUUUUCGCAUAAUAGUAUACUUGGUGGUCAUGAUAAAGCAUAUUAAUCAUGUAUUGGUAUAUGGGAUUAUGAUGGGGUAGAUGUACACUACGUUGACAUCAUGUGAUAUUACGGCAUUGUAGAUUAGCAUUUCAUUACAUGCUUUCCCUAUUUGCAGUUUACUAGUAGUUCCUUUAUCUACUUAUACUUUUGGGCCUAGUGGUGCAUUUGGCUAUGGUCAGUAAUUGUCCACUGGGAACUAUAAAUUAUAGUUCUCACGUCCCCCUGUUUUAUGUUUUCUUUCAGAGCCUUCCACCCCGGGAGAGGCUCGGGAUCGCGGGAAAGGAAUCGCCUCAAGUUAGCUAGCAAGGAAUUCGACGAUAGGUGGUCUACCUCUCUUCUGAGUUUUGUUUGGAGAGGUUGAAAGACUUGUACCAUUUUUGUAGAGACUACCCCCUAUAUGUAGCUUGAGACUAAUGAUGUAUUAUUUUACGUUUUGCCUUGGUGGUUUAGUUUCCCUUGUUUCUACCUGUUGUUGGAACCUAGCUGUAUACUUGCUCUGAUAUCUUUAUAUACACUCU